rnacentral:lncRNA from 1 species
AAUAUUUUAUGAAUUUAUUAAGAAAGAAAUGAAUCACAAACCAGGUCUUUAUGUCUUUAGGAAAUGUUUGUAUAAUGAACUAGUGGAUUUGUGUCAUCUGGCUUUUGGAUCAGUAAAGCUGGGUAUCAUCUGCAUAGCAAUGAACAAAUGCAGUGUUUUCUAAUAAUGCUGCCUGAAGGAAGUAUGUACAAUGUGAAAAGGUACUGUUCCCAACACAGAACCCUGAGGAACUCUGUGACAAGCAUUUAUUCAUGAAAAUCAUCAUAAAAUGGGGAAAACCAAGAGUAUAACAAUAUAAAGUGAUUAAAAUAAAUAAAAAAAGAAAACAUUGACACUGAGCAAACACACAAAGAGUCACAGAGUCAGGUUUGUGUUCCUGUCAGGCUGAAAACAAACCUCUGCAAUUAUCCAGCCUUUGCCAAACUCUCUGAUACAUGCAGUACUGUGAGGCUCCACCAACAGCACACGGGGAUACCCAAUGGGAUCAAAGGGAAGUGAUGAAAGGAAGCUGAAGGCGUCUGACACAGUCAGUCAGCAUCCAGACAGCAUGAAGGCUGCAGCUGCCUCUCUGCUCCUGCUCGGUGUGUGUGUGCUGCUGCUGUCUGCACCGACUGUUUCUGCAGUGUCUCUGUCAGUCAGUCCAAACCUUCAGCAGUUCUUCAGUGCAUCUUCUUCAGUGUCUCUGAGUUGUGUUGAUGAUGGACAGACAGUUGAUGGUUGGACAGUGAAGAGGACCAGUGGAGGACCCACUGUGGACUGUGGAGCAGCUGAGAUGAGUGGAAGUUUGUGCGUUUUGGAUCGUAACUCGUCCUACGGUGGAACCUUCUGGUGUGAAAGCUCAUCUGGACAGCAGAGCGAUGAAGUGUCCAUCAGUGUUUCAGGUACAGUGAGAUGUUCCAGCUGUGUCUCUGUCUCUGUGUGACUCCAAUCUGAUGGUGGAAGUCUGUCUCUGUUUACCUGCUAUUCAGAAAAAGGUGUGAUCCUGGAGAUCCCUGCACUUCCUGUAAGACCAGGAAGUGAUGUUACUCUGCAAUGCAAGAAGAAGACUGGUGAAACACUUCCAUCUUUUUUCUUCAUGAAUGGACGUCUCCUUGGGUCUAAAGCAGAACACGUUAUCCCUAAUGUCAGGCACUCUGAUGAAGGUCUCUACUGGUGCGCUUCUAACACAUUUGGAUCAUCUCCUCAGAGCUUUCUGAGGGUCCGAGGUCAGAACACUGACGAAACUCCCUGUUUAAAGACCUGACCUGACCUGCUGAGCUC